GACGUAGGGCGCGAGCGUUGUCCGGAUUUAUUGGGCGUAAAGAGCUCGUAGGCGGCUUGUUGCGUCGAAUGUGAAAACUCGGGGCUCAACUCCGAGCUUGCAUUCGAUACGGGCAGGCUAGAGUUCGGUAGGGGAGACUGGAAUUCCUGGUGUAGCGGUGAAAUGCGCAGAUAUCGGGAGGAACACCGGUGGCGAAGGCAGGUCUCUGGGCAUUAACUGACGCUGAGGAGCGAAAGCAUGGGGAGCGAACAGG
rnacentral:rRNA from 1 species